AUGUUCUGGAGUGUUCGUGGCCUGAAUAGCCGCACCAAGCGUACUGCUGUCCGUAGCAUGGUUACCACUGCUGCGCCGUCCAUCAUCUGCCUCCAAGAAACAAAACUCUCCCUGGUCUCGAAUGACAUCGUUGCCCAGACUCUGGGUCCUGAGUUCUCUGAUUUCUAUUGGCUGCCUGCGGAUGGUACGCGGGGCGGCAUCAUCCUCGCAUGGUGUGCGGAUCACGUCUCCCUCUCUAACCGAACCGUUGGCACUUACCACGUCUCCGCCACAGCGAUGCUGGCCUUGGGUGGCCCCCUGGUGGGUCACGGGUGUCUAUGGGCCUCAACCGGAUGCCGACAAGCUUGA
rnacentral:rRNA from 1 species